rnacentral:rRNA from 1 species
AAUGAACGCUGGCGGCGCGCCUAAUACAUGCAAGUCGAGCGAGAAGACGUAGCAAUACGUUUGUAAAGCGGCGAACGGGUGAGGAAUACAUGGGUAACCUACCCUUGAGUGGGGAAUAACUAGCCGAAAGGUUAGCUAAUACCGCGUACGCUUCCUGGACUUCGGUUCAGGGAGGAAAGCGAUGCCGAGGGUAUCGCGCUCUUGGAUGGGCUCAUGUCCUAUCAGCUUGUUGGGAGGUAACGGCUCACCAAGGCUUCGACGGGUAGCUGGUCUGAGAGGACGAUCAGCCACACUGGCACUGCGACACGGGCCAGACUCCUACGGGAGGCAGCAGUAAGGAAUAUUGCGCAAUGGGCGAAAGCCUGACGCAGCGACGCCGCGUGGGGGA